CAAUAGCGUAUAUUAAAGUUGUUGCGGUUAAAAAGCUCGUAGUUGGAGUUCUGCCAGGUGCCGCCUGUCCGCCCCAGUGGUGAGUACGUGGCGCGCAUUUGGCCCUUUCAAGGGGAGCGUAUCUGCACUUUAUUGUGUGGUGCGGGAUCCUUGACUUUUACUUUGAGGAAAUAGGAGUGUUCCAAGCAGGCUCUCGUCGUGCACAGCUCAGCAUGGAAUAAUAGCAUUGGACCUCGAUUCUAAGCUGUUGGUUGCCAGAAGCGAGGUAAUGAUGAAGAGGGAUAGUUGGGGGCAUUCGUAUUUAACUGUCAGGGGUGAAAUUCUUGGAUUUGUUAAAGACGGACUACUGCGAAAGCAUUUGCCAAGGAUGUUUUCAUUGA
rnacentral:rRNA from 1 species